GGGUUGUGAGGUUAAGCGACUAAGCGUACACGGUGGAUGCCUAGGCAGUCAGAGGCGAUGAAGGGCGUGCUAAUCUGCGAUAAGCGUCGGUAAGCUGAUAUGAAGCGUUAUACCCGACGAUACCCGAAUGGGGAAACCCAGUGUGUUUCGACACACUAUCAUGACAUGAAUACAUAGUGUCAUGAGGCGAACCGGGGGAACUGAAACAUCUCAGUACCCCGAGGAAAAGAAAUCAACCGAGAUUCCCCCAGUAGCGGCGAGCGAACGGGGAAGAGCCCAGAACCUGAAUCAGUUUGUGUGUUAGUGGAAGCGUCUGGAAAGUCGCACAGUAAAGGGUGAUAGUCCCGUACACAAAAAUGCACAGAUUGUGAGUUCGAUGAGUAGGGCGGGACACGUGACAUCCUGUCUGAAUAUGGGGGGACCAUCCUCCAAGGCUAAAUACUCCUGACUGACCGAUAGUGAACCAGUACCGUGAGGGAAAGGCGAAAAGAACCCCGGCGAGGGGAGUGAAAUAGAACCUGAAACCGUGUACGUACAAGCAGUGGGAGCCUACUAGUUAGGUGACUGCGUACCUUUUGUAUAAUGGGUCAGCGACUUAUAUUCUGUAGCAAGGUUAACCGUAUAGGGGAGCCGCAGGGAAACCGAGUCUUAACUGGGCGUUAAGUUGCAGGGUAUAGACCCGAAACCCGGUGAUCUAGCCAUGGGCAGGUUGAAGGUUGGGUAACACUAACUGGAGGACCGAACCGACUAAUGUUGAAAAAUUAGCGGAUGACUUGUGGCUGGGGGUGAAAGGCCAAUCAAACCGGGAGAUAGCUGGUUCUCCCCGAAAGCUAUUUAGGUAGCGCCUCGUGAAUUCAUCUUCGGGGGUAGAGCACUGUUUCGGCUAGGGGGUCAUCCCGACUUACCAACCCGAUGCAAACUACGAAUACCGAAGAAUGUUAUCACGGGAGACACACGGCGGGUGCUAACGUUCGUCGUGAAGAGGGAAACAACCCAGACCGCCAGCUAAGGUCCCAAAGUCAUGGUUAAGUGGGAAACGAUGUGGGAAGGCACAGACAGCCAGGAUGUUGGCUUAGAAGCAGCCAUCAUUUAAAGAAAGCGUAAUAGCUCACUGGUCGAGUCGGCCUGCGCGGAAGAUGUAACGGGGCUAAACCAUGCACCGAAGCUGCGGCAGCGACACUUAGGUGUUGUUGGGUAGGGGAGCGUUCUGUAAGCCUGCGAAGGUGGCCUGUGAGGGCUGCUGGAGGUAUCAGAAGUGCGAAUGCUGACAUAAGUAACGAUAAUGCGGGUGAAAAACCCGCACGCCGGAAGACCAAGGGUUCCUGUCCAACGUUAAUCGGGGCAGGGUGAGUCGACCCCUAAGGCGAGGCUGAAAAGCGUAGUCGAUGGGAAACAGGUUAAUAUUCCUGUACUCGGUGUUACUGCGAAGGGGGGACGGAGAAAGCUAGGUUAUCCGGGCGACGGUUGUCCCGGUUUAAGCGUGAAGGUGGAUGACUUUGGUAAAUCCGGGUCAUCAUUAACACUGAGGCGUGAUGACGAGUCACUACGGUGAUGAAGUAACCGAUGCUACGCUUCCAGGAAAAGCCUCUAAGCUCCAGGUAACAUCAAAUCGUACCCCAAACCGACACAGGUGGUCAGGUAGAGAAUACUCAGGCGCUUGAGAGAACUCGGGUGAAGGAACUAGGCAAAAUGGUGCCGUAACUUCGGGAGAAGGCACGCUGAUGGUAGGUGAAGUGACUUGCUCAUGGAGCUGAAAUCAGUCGAAGAUACCAGCUGGCUGCAACUGUUUAAUAAAAACACAGCACUGUGCAAACACGAAAGUGGACGUAUACGGUGUGACGCCUGCCCGGUGCCGGAAGGUUAAUUGAUGGGGUCAGCCGCAAGGCGAAGCUCUUGAUCGAAGCCCCGGUAAACGGCGGCCGUAACUAUAACGGUCCUAAGGUAGCGAAAUUCCUUGUCGGGUAAGUUCCGACCUGCACGAAUGGCGUAAUGAUGGCCAGGCUGUCUCCACCCGAGACUCAGUGAAAUUGAACUCGCUGUGAAGAUGCAGUGUACCCGCGGCAAGACGGAAAGACCCCGUGAACCUUUACUAUAGCUUGACACUGAACCUUGAGCCUUGAUGUGUAGGAUAGGUGGGAGGCUUUGAAGCGUGGACGCCAGUCUGCGUGGAGCCAACCUUGAAAUACCACCCUUUAAUGUUUGAUGUUCUAACGUGGACCCGUAAUCCGGGUUGCGGACAGUGUCUGGUGGGUAGUUUGACUGGGGCGGUCUCCUCCCAAAGCGUAACGGAGGAGCACGAAGGUUAGCUAAUCCUGGUCGGACAUCAGGAGGUUAGUGCAAAGGCAUAAGCUAGCUUGACUGCGAGAGUGACAGCUCGAGCAGGUGCGAAAGCAGGUCUUAGUGAUCCGGUGGUUCUGAAUGGAAGGGCCAUCGCUCAACGGAUAAAAGGUACUCCGGGGAUAACAGGCUGAUACCGCCCAAGAGUUCAUAUCGACGGCGGUGUUUGGCACCUCGAUGUCGGCUCAUCACAUCCUGGGGCUGAAGUAGGUCCCAAGGGUAUGGCUGUUCGCCAUUUAAAGUGGUACGCGAGCUGGGUUUAGAACGUCGUGAGACAGUUCGGUCCCUAUCUGCCGUGGGCGUUGGAAGAUUGAGAGGGGUUGCUCCUAGUACGAGAGGACCGGAGUGAACGCACCACUGGUGUACGGGUUGUGAUGCCAAUUGCAUUGCCCGGUAGCUAAGUGCGGAAGAGAUAACCGCUGAAAGCAUCUAAGCGGGAAACUUGCCUCGAGAUGAGUCUUCCCUGGGCACUUGAUGCCCCUGAAGGGCCGUUGAAGACGACGACGUAGAUAGGCUGGGUGUGUAAGCGUAGCGAUACGUUGAGCUAACCAGUACUAAUGACCCGAGAGGCUUAACCUUACAACACCGAAGGUGUUU
rnacentral:rRNA from 1 species